rnacentral:rRNA from 1 species
AUCAGCCUUUCGGGUGCGAUUCUGUGGGGUUUGAGGAGCUUAACACCUUCAUGCUUUGCAUAUUCGUGCUCUUGGGUGUACUUGCCCGUGUGGUUGGUUAACAUCAAUUUUGGUGGUCAUAAAAUGACUGGAGGAAUGUAGCUUCGAUCUUGUAUUGAAGUGUUAUAGCCUUCGGUAGAUGUGAUGAUCGAGAUUGAGGAUUGCAACGGAUACCCUUCGGGGCUAUCUGUCUGAUCUCUGAUCGUUGUUCUGGUGCCGAAAGCUUGCUUACGGUUAUCAAAGUCGAUGGUCAAUAGGUUAGAACGGGUUAAAUUCGUUAAGGAUGUUGGCGUAAUGGCUUU